rnacentral:rRNA from 1 species
GCUUGUCUCAAAGAUUAAGCCAUGCAUGUCUAAGUAUAAAAAAAUCUAUACGUGAAACUGCGAAUGGCUCAUUAUAUCAGUUAUAGUUUAUUUGAUGGUUCUUGCUACUUGGAUAACCGUAGUAAUUCUAGAGCUAAUACAUGCGUCAAACCCCGACUUCUGGGAGGGGUGUAUUUAUUAGAUGGAAACCAAUGCGGGGCAACCCGGUAUAUGGUGAUUCAUAAUAACUUUCGGAUCGAUCUUCGGAUCGAUGCAUCAUUCAAGUUUCUGCCCUAUCAGCUUUGGAUGGUAGGGUAUUGGCCUACCAUGGCUUUAACGGGUAACGGAGAAUUAGGGUUCGAUUCCGGAGAGGGAGCCUGAGAAAUGGCUACCACAUCCAAGGAAGGCAGCAGG